CGCGGCUGCCAUCUUGUAUUAUUUAUUCGGUGAAAGUGAUUAUAAUAAGACAAUUAGCUUUUGUUUUUACGGUAAUUAAGUGCGAAAAUGUGCGAUCAUGGAAACAUAGGCACCAAUUUGACGACGGUCGUGUUCCAAGUUACAUAAGGUAUUUGAAGAAAGCAAUAUCUCACCGUCAUCAAAUCACAUAUUUUAUUGUAUUUUGAAGCAGUCGAUGUCUUGAUCUUCCUGUAAACCGGUAA